AAUCCUGGAGAUGGGAGAUGUGGAGCAGGUAAGUUUGUGGCAGCACCAGAGUCCUCCAACAAGUCUUCUGGCAAAGUAAAUGAGGAAGGAUCGGAGUCUGCCAUCGUGGAGUUUUGCUGAAAGGCCUGAACACGUUCCAUCCAUGCAUCCAUCUUCUUCCAUUCAUCCAGAACCAGGUUGUGAGGGCAGCAGUCUAAGCAAAGAUGCCCAGACUUCCCUCUCCUCCAGCUCCUCUUGGGGGACCCCGGGGCCAGCGUGUCCUGGGUCUCCCUUAGGGCCUCUGCCCUUAUUCCUGUUGGAGUUUUUUUCUAACCCCUUAUGUUUCAAAAGUUUGCAAACAUACAUUUUGGUUGAAAUGAUGAGGAUCCGAGGAUGAAAUCAAGAAGGGACAACAUCAGGGAAAGGGACUGAACCGACUGAACAGCUUCCUCUCUUCACCAGACACAUGUUCCCAGUACAUAUGUGUCAAAAACUGACAUCCUCGCCGUUCAGGCCGGUGGCUGGAACAAGCGGAAGUCA